GACGAACGCUGGCGGCGUGCUUAACACAUGCAAGUCGAACGGAAAGGCCCUGCUUUUGUGGGGUGCUCGAGUGGCGAACGGGUGAGUAACACGUGAGUAACCUGCCCUUGACUUUGGGAUAACUUCAGGAAACUGGGGCUAAUACCGGAUAGGAGCUCCUGCUGCAUGGUGUGGGUUGGUAAGUUUCGGCGGUUGGGGAUGGACUCGCGGCUUAUCAGCUUGUUGGUGGGGUAGUGGCUUACCAAGGCUUUGACGGGUAGCCGGCCUGAGAGGGUGACCGGCCACAUUGGGACUGAGAUACGGCCCAGACUCCUACGGGAGGCAGCAGUGGGGAAUAUUGCACAAUGGGCGGAAGCCUGAUGCAGCAACGCCGCGUGCGGGAUGACGGCCUUCGGGUUGUAAACCGCUUUCGCCUGUGACGAAGAGUGAGUGACGGUAAUGGGUAAAGAAGCACCGGCUAACUACGUG
rnacentral:rRNA from 1 species